rnacentral:rRNA from 1 species
GCCAGACUCCUACGGGAGGCAGCAGUGAGGAAUAUUGGUCAAUGGGCGGAAGCCUGAACCAGCCAAGUCGCGUGAGGGAAUAAGGCCCUACGGGUCGUAAACCUCUUUUGUCGGGGAGCAAAGAGGCCUCGUGAGGUCAAAAGCGAGAGUACCCGAAGAAAAAGCAUCGGCUAACUCCGUGCCAGCAGCCGCGGUAAUACGGAGGAUGCGAGCGUUAUCCGGAUUUAUUGGGUUUAAAGGGUGCGUAGGCGGGACGGUAAGUCAGCGUUAAAAAUGCGGAGCUCAACGCCGUCGAGCCGUUGAAACUGCCGUUCUUGAGUGAGCGAGAAGUAUGCGGAAUGCGUGGUGUAGCGGUGAAAUGCAUAGAUAUCACGCAGAACUCCGAUUGCGAAGGCAGCAUACCGGCGCUCAACUGACGCUGAAGCACGAAGGCGUGGGUAUCGAACAGGAUUAGAUACCCCUGUA